CAGUUUCAGAUGCUGGUGCCAGCUGUAUCCCUGGUUACCUCCUGGCAGUGGUAGCCGUCGCCACCCUCCUCCUCACCCUCAUCAUCUACAGCGUCUUACUACGGGUGGGAGGAACAAAAUUCAAGUUUCCAUUCACAGACUGCUUCGUUGUUAAAAAUGAUCAUCUAUACGAUAUCCCUGACAGAGAAUCUGAUGGUGAUCCUGACAGCACCUAUUGUGUCAUACAAAACACUGGCCCCAUCUACAUUAACUCCCCCGCAGGGUCGUCUCCUGAUAAAGCACACAAGACACCGUGACUCGCACUCGCCGUGUGGGGCGGUGGAGUGGCCUGAUGGAAGUGUUCGCUCGUCACGCUGAAGACCCGGGUUCGAUUCCCCAUAUGGGUACACUGUGUGAAGCCCAUUUCUGGUGUCCCCCGACGUGAUAUUGCUGGAAUAUUGCUAAAAGCGGAGUACCAUCAUACUUACUCACUCACCCUCUCGUCGUGGAUUCUCAAAGACACUGCUAUUCUAAACAGAUGUUCACGGAAAGGCCCUGGUAUUUGAUUUGAUUGGGAUUUCAAGAUUAGGUACAUUUGGUCUUUAGUUAGUAGACAAUAUAGCUGAUCUGGUCAGUCAUGUCGAUGUUCAUGCAAUAUUCUGUAAUACAUCUACAUGUGAAAACCAUUGCUGUAUGCGCUGACCAUUCCAAUUCUUGUAUGACGCAACUUGCUGAGGAGGGAUGACCUAGUUGUAAUUCAUCCUCUUAAGUUCGAAUUCCUGAUUAACACCGAUUAUGAUCCUUGGUAUUAAAAGGCUGCGAGGUAGGUUAAUGGUUUGCCGGCGUACCCCGACUCCGGGUCCUUGCUCAUAAUAUUAAUCACUGGCUUGUUUGGUCCAGACUCUGUUAUUGACAUUCAGCUGUGGUACGGCUGACCAACUGCUGACCGCGGCAUCUACCAGCAUCUGCUCUCUUCCACCCGCACCAUCAGCAACACUGAGAAGUGUCCUGUGUAUAUAAAUACCUUACUACCGUU